AAGAUAGUGUCAAAAUCAAGGAUUUUAGGUGCCACCAGUUUUGUGGAGUCUCCUGUGACCAAAUAACUUAUCCAUGGGAAAAGACUCAACUCGAAAUAGAGGAUAUUUCCAUCCUGGAAGGCUGGUUUGGAGAAGUGGUUGUAACUGAAAACAAAAGAGGAAGAGUAUUCCUCCAAACUUGAAAAACUACAGACCAUAUUGGAGCAUUUACAAAGGGUGGAAGAGUUCAAGUUCGUCUCAAAUCUCAAGAAGUUAGAGAAAAAACAAGGAAGACAGUAUGGCUGCUAGUGGAAUGCAACUAAAAAUACAGUGCUAGGACAAAGAAAGUAGGUAUAGAUUCCAUUUUUCAUUUAUAUUUCUCUUUUCCAUUCCUUCUUUCCAUAACAUUACCUUCUCAUUGAUGCAUUUUGGGAAAAAAUAUCAGAAUACUCUCCAUAGAGAAGGGAGAUGAAGUGGUGAAGAAAUAGAAGUAUUUAUUCUCUGUCCUCUCCAAUGAUGCCUUCAGAUUUGACCUUUGAGAGGAGGUAAAGGUUGUAUAAAGUGAGAACAGCAUUAGAAUUUUCAUUUGUUCCUCUAGCAGUAGUUGAGAAGAAUAGUCAUUAAGGCUGAGAAUUCAGACCUUUCAUUUCCAUCUUUCUGUUUUUGUCUCUGUCUUGGUGUCUUCCUUUUCCCCUUUCCCUCUAUAGAGAUGCUACCUCUGGGACCAAGGAUUGGUUAGAUUCUCCCUCCUAUUCCUGUUCUUUUGCUGCCUUUUAAGUUGGUUGCUUUACAUGAGAAUUCUCAUUUUGAGAUGUUUUUGAAGGCUGAUAAUAUCUCUGGGCAGACUGUGGCUUUGGGGCUGAGGGCUCCCAAGCUAUUCCCAAUCUAUUUUUGGGAAUAGCUUAAUAGGAUUCUGGAAAAAGGUAUAAUCGUCCUCUGCCUCCUUUCUAUAUAGGCAUGUGCUUAGUAGGAUUUUUGUCUAAGGGCUAAAAUUCCUUAUUCAAAGAAAUCACAUGAUGAAGUACAGAUUUCUUUGUGAGCUAAGACUUUCCCAAAGUAAUAAGAAACUAUUUUAGUACUGUGGGCUUGGGAAACAUCAACACUAUUUAAAAGGAGAAAUCUGUUUGUGGGUUGCAUCUGCCAAAAUAUGUUAUUGCCAAAUCCAGAUCUCUAUUUUGAUAAAACUAUUAAUCUGGUAGAAUC
rnacentral:lncRNA from 1 species